CGAACGGGUGAGUAACGCGUGAGGAACCUGCCUCAAAGAGGGGGACAACAGUUGGAAACGACUGCUAAUACCGCAUAAGCCCACGGGUCGGCAUCGAUCUGAGGGAAAAGGAGUGAUCCGCUUUGAGAUGGCCUCGCGUCCGAUUAGCUAGUUGGUGAGGUAACGGCCCACCAAGGCGACGAUCGGUAGCCGGUCUGAGAGGUUGAACGGCCACAUUGGGACUGAGACACGGCCCAG
rnacentral:rRNA from 1 species